GGAAACCCUGAUGCAGCCAUGCCGCGUGUGUGAAGAAGGCCUUCGGGUUGUAAAGCACUUUCAGCGAGGAGGAAAGGUUGAUGCCUAAUACGUAUCAACUGUGACGUUACUCGCAGAAGAAGCACCGGCUAACUCCGUGCCAGCAGCCGCGGUAAUACGGAGGGUGCAAGCGUUAAUCGGAAUUACUGGGCGUAAAGCGCACGCAGGCGGUUGGAUAAGUUAGAUGUGAAAGCCCCGGGCUCAACCUGGGAAUUGCAUUUAAAACUGUCCAGCUAGAGUCUUGUAGAGGGGGGUAGAAUUCCAGGUGUAGCGGUGAAAUGCGUAGAGAUCUGGAGGAAUACCGGUGGCGAAGGCGGCCCCCUG
rnacentral:rRNA from 1 species